rnacentral:rRNA from 1 species
GUCCUACGGGGGGCAGCAGUAGGGAAUCUUCCACAAUGGACGAAAGUCUGAUGGAGCAACGCCGCGUGAGUGAAGAAGGGUUUCGGCUCGUAAAGCUCUGUUGGUAGUGAAGAAAGAUAGAGGGAGUAACUGGCCUUUAUUUGACGGUAAUUACUUAGAAAGUCACGGCUAACUACGUGCCAGCAGCCGCGGUAAUACGUAGGUGGGACGCGUUGUCCGGAUUUAUUGGGCGUUAAGCGAGAGCAGGGGGGUCAGUUAGUGUG